rnacentral:rRNA from 1 species
UACAGAGGUCUCAAGCGUUGUUCGGAUUCAUUGGGCGUAAAGGGUGUGUAGGUGGCGCGCUAAGUCGGGUGUGAAAUCUCGGGGCUCAACCCCGAAACUGCACUUGAUACUGCCUUGCUCGAGUACUGGAGAGGAGACUGGAAUUUACGGUGUAGCAGUGAAAUGCGUAGAUAUCGUAAGGAAGACCAGUGGCGAAGGCGAGUCUCUGGACAGUUACUGACGCUGAGGCACGAAGGCCAGGGGAGCAAACGGG